rnacentral:rRNA from 1 species
AGAGUUUGAUUCUGGCUCAGGACGAACGCUGGCGGCGUGCUUAACACAUGCAAGUCGAACGGAAAGGUCUCUUCGGAGAUACUCGAGUGGCGAACGGGUGAGUAACACGUGGGUAAUCUGCCCUGCACUUCGGGAUAAGCUUGGGAAACUGGGUCUAAUACCGAAUAUGACCACGAGGCGCAUGUCUUGUGGUGGAAAGCUUUAUGCGGUGUGGGAUGGGCCCGCGGCCUAUCAGCUUGUUGGUGGGGUGAUGGCCUACCAAGGCGACGACGGGUAGCCGGCCUGAGAGGGUGUCCGGCCACACUGGGACUGAGAUACGGCCCAGACUCCUACGGGAGGCAGCAGUGGGGAAUAUUGCACAAUGGGCGCAAGCCUGAUGCAGCGACGCCGCGUGGGGGAUGACGGCCUUCGGGUUGUAAACCUCUUUCAGCAGGGACGAAGCGCAAGUGACGGUACCUGCAGAAGAAGCACCGGCCAACUACGUGCCAGCAGCCGCGGUAAUACGUAGGGUGCGAGCGUUGUCCGGAAUUACUGGGCGUAAAGAGCUCGUAGGUGGUUUGUCGCGUUGUUCGUGAAAACCGAGGGCUUAACUCUCGGCGUGCGGGCGAUACGGGCAGACUAGAGUACUGCAGGGGAGACUGGAAUUCCUGGUGUAGCGGUGGAAUGCGCAGAUAUCAGGAGGAACACCGGUGGCGAAGGCGGGUCUCUGGGCAGUAACUGACGCUGAGGAGCGAAAGCGUGGGGAGCGAACAGGAUUAGAUACCCUGGUAGUCCACGCCGUAAACGGUGGGUACUAGGUGUGGGUUUCCUUCCUUGGGAUCCGUGCCGUAGCUAACGCAUUAAGUGCCCCGCCUGGGGAGUACGGCCGCAAGGCUAAAACUCAA